rnacentral:lncRNA from 11 species
GGCUGCCGCUCGAGAAGCGCCUCUACACGCCUCCUUUCGCCAACCGCGACCGCCAGGAGGGCAUGGACGCCUUCGCCGAGAAGAGGGAGCCCCGCUUCACCCACCAGUGAGCCUCUCAGGGGCCCUGUUCUCCUCUCAGGUGUCACCAGAGGCCUUCAAGGGAACACCGAACCACGGCCUCCUCUCCUCCAGGAACCAGAGGGCCGGCAGCAAGAUUUCUAAUCACAGACAGUUAAUUAGAAGCUGUAAUUGUUCCUAAUCCAUUUCAAAGCAGCGUUUGUUUGGGGGGUACCCGCACCUGAAGGAUGGCAUCUGUGCAGGUUGGAUGCCUCUAAGAAGGGAGCCCUGCAUUAUCCAGUUGCUUUAAAGCAGGCAUGAGCAAACCUUGGGCCCUGAAGGGGAAAAGGCCUCAGGCUGUUAGGAAUGGUGGGAGUUGAAGCCCAAAACACCUGCAGGGCCCAAGUUUACCCAUGCCUGCUUUAAAAGCACUGCCUCUUCUUUCACUAAGAGACAGAGCCAUCUCAUGAAUACAACGGAUGCCGUUCUAAUAAUUGGUUUUUGGUUAAUUGGGAGUUAUUACUACUGUACUUCAGGCGCAGGCAAAUUUUGGCCCUCCAGAACAACUGGAGGGUCAGAUUUGCCCAUGUCUGCUGUACUAAAUCUCUUAAGAGAGUAUUUGGAGAAUGCCUCAUCAGAUGGUGGCUUGCCUCUACCAGCAGUCAACAGAUACCAACAAGGGGCAGCUUUCUCACUUGCACAUUUUUGA